AUACGGAGGAUCCGAGCGUUAUCCGGAUUUAUUGGGUUUAAAGGGAGCGUAGGUGGAUUGUUAAGUCAGUUGUGAAAGUUUGCGGCUCAACCGUAAAAUUGCAGUUGAAACUGGCAGUCUUGAGUACAGUAGAGGUGGGCGGAAUGUGGUGUAGCGGUGAAAUGCUUAGAUAUCACGAAGAACUCCGAUUGCGAAGGCAGCUCACUAGACUGUUACUGACACUGAUGCUCGAAAGUGUGGGUAUCAAACAGGAUUAGAUACCCUGGUAGUCCACACAGUAAACGAUGAAUACUCGCUGUUUGCGAUAUACAGUAAGCGGCCAAGCGAAAGCAUUAAGUAUUCCACCUGGGGAGUACGCCGGCAACGGUGAAACUCAAAGGAAUUGACGGGG
rnacentral:rRNA from 1 species